GUGAGUAGUUCAGAGUUUGAUCCUGGCUCAGGACGAACGCUGGCGGCGUGCUUAACACAUGCAAGUCGAACGAAGCACUCUACUUGAUUUCCUUCGGGAAUGAUUGUUUUGUAACUGAGUGGCGGACGGGUGAGUAACGCGUGGGUAACCUGCCUCAUACAGGGGGAUAACAGUUGGAAACGGCUGCUAAUACCGCAUAAGCGCACAGCUUCGCAUGAAGUGGUGUGAAAAACUCCGGUGGUAUGGGAUGGACCCGCGUUGGAUUAGCUUGUUGGUGGGGUAACGGCCCACCAAGGCGACGAUCCAUAGCCGACCUGAGAGGGUGACCGGCCACAUUGGGACUGAGACACGGCCCAA
rnacentral:rRNA from 1 species